rnacentral:rRNA from 1 species
UACAGAGGGUGCAAGCGUUAAUCGGAAUUACUGGGCGUAAAGCGCGCGUAGGUGGUUUGGUAAGUCAGAUGUGAAAUCCCCGGGCUCAACCUGGGAAUUGCAUUUGAUACUGCUUGACUAGAGUUUGGGAGAGGGAAGUGGAAUUCCACAAGUAGCGGUGAAAUGCGUAGAUAUGUGGAGGAAUACCAGUGGCGAAGGCGGCUUCCUGGCCUAAAACUGACACUGAGGUGCGAAAGCGUGGGGAGCAAACAGG